rnacentral:rRNA from 1 species
AACGAACGCUGGCGGCGUGGAUAAGACAUGCAAGUCGAACGGGACAGGUAGCAAUAUCUGUCUAGUGGCGAACGGGUGCGAAACACGUGGGCAACAUGCCUGGAAGAGCGGGAUAGCCCGGGGAAACUCGGAUUAAUACCGCAUGUGACAACGGGGCGGCUUCGCCCUGUUUUCAAAGGUGGGGACCGCAAGGCCUGCCGCUUCCAGAUUGGCCCGCGUCCUAUCAGCUAGUUGGCGGGGUAAAAGCCCACCAAGGCGACGACGGGUAGCUGGUCUGAGAGGACGACCAGCCACACUGGAACUGAGACACGGUCCAGACACCUACGGGUGGCAGCAGUCGAGAAUCUUUCACAAUGGGGGAAACCCUGAUGGAGCGACGCCGCGUGGAGGAUGACGGUCUCCGGAUUGUAAACUCCUGUCAUGAAAGAACAAGCGGAGCGGGUGAACAGCCCGCCGAGUUGAUAGUAUUUCAAGAGGAGGGGACGGCUAACUUCGUGCCAGCAGCCGCAGUAA